AGCGAACGCUGGCGGCAGGCCUAACACAUGCAAGUCGAACGAACUCUUCGGAGUUAGUGGCGGACGGGUGAGUAACACGUGGGAACGUGCCUUUUGGUUCGGAAUAACUCAGGGAAUCUUGUGCUAAUACCGAAUGUGCCCUUCGGGGGAAAGAUUUAUCGCCACUAGAGCGGCCCGCGUCUGAUUAGCUAGUUGGUGAGGUAACGGCUCACCAAGGCGACGAUCAGUAGCUGGUCUGAGAGGAUGACCAGCCACACUGGGACUGAGACACGGCCCAGACUCCUACGGGAGGCAGCAGUGGGGAAUCUUGCGCAAUGGGCGAAAGCCUGACGCAGCCAUGCCGCGUGAAUGAUGAAGGUCUUAGGAUUGUAAAAUUCUUUCACCGGGGACGAUAAUGACGGUACCCGGAGAAGAAGCCCCGGCUAACUUCGUG
rnacentral:rRNA from 1 species